GCGUUUCUAUUACCGAGCAGCUUCAGGUCAGUGUUCUGAUCCGGUUUCGGAGGAGAACUGGAACCAGGUGAGCGUUACCUGGAGGUUACCUGGAGUCCUCCCACAGCCGCUGUGAUCAUGUGACCUCUUGAACCAAUCACUGCUCCUCCUGUCAUGUUUACAAAGCCAUGAGAGAGAAAUGCACCCGUGUGGAAAUUACAGCAUCGGCGCGAUCUGUUGUCUGGAUUGUCUUAAUAUUAAAAUAUUCCCAAUGUAAACCAACAUUUAGGAACAUUUUAACAUAAACGUUGAUUGAUCUGAUGUAAUAUUUCAGAGAUAAAGCAAUAAUUUAAGUAUUGGAACGAUUCAGCCAGAUUUAAAGUUUCCCCAGGUGAGCUGAUUUCCAGCGGGUGCGCGUCUCUCCGUCCGACGUUUCUAAAGGAGGCUGGGCGCCGUGACGUCGGGUUCGUGUCGUCCUCUGAGGCGCAUCCAGACGCCGUGAAAGUGUACACAUAUAUCUGAGCUGUUUGUGUUGUUUUAUUUGAAGAGAAAACCAUGUUACUGUUGAGCCUCCGGCAGCGAGCGCGGAGGCGGCUGAAAAGGUCAGCUGAGCAGGAGCGGACAGACGGACGGACUCUGGGGCUCCUCAGGGAACGACUCUCGGUCCUCCUGAUGUUCGAUGCAGGUGUGGGGGUGAAAGGGACGUUUUAAAUAUCUUUCAUUUGAUUUUUUUUUUACAGAACUAUCUGUUUUUAUUAAUGCAGCCAAACGUGACUGAUGUUCAUAUUCUUAUGGAUUUCCUCGUUGUUUUUGUACUUCAGACAUCUUGUUUCUACUUCCUGUAUGAUGUCGAUGAACUGUUUGACAAAGAAAGUUCAUCUCUGUGUUUGUUUGGAUUUGAUGCAAUACUUUUAUAAAAUAUAGCGUGUUUUUUGUAAUUCUGAUGAACCGAUGUAAACGUUUCUUCAGUCUGAACAUGAGUGAUGAAGAGCAUGGAGCCUUCAGCCUUCAUCAGAAGAAAUGCAGACCAAUCAUCAGUUUGUUUUAAUUCAUGCUCUGUGUCUGUUAUUUAACUGAUGAUGUGAUGACGAUGAAGGCCACGGUGGAGGUGUUUUUGUUUCGUUUCUAAUAUUUCUGACCUGUUUUAGUCGAUGAGACCGGGUACUUUUAAUGUAAAAAUCUAAAUAAAUGUUCCCAACCACA